ACCUAGCUGGCUCAGUCAGAACAGUGUGGGACUCUUGAUCUAGUAGGGGUCAUGGGUUCAAGCCCCAUGCUGGGUA
rnacentral:tRNA from 1 species